CCCUUAGAUGUUCUGGGCGGCACGCGCGCUACACUGACAGAGCCAACGAGUGCAUCACCUUGGCCGGAAGGUCUGGGUAAUCUUGUUAAACUCUGUCGUGCUGGGGAUAGAGCAUUGCAAUUGUUGCUCUUCAACGAGGAAUGCCUAGUAAGCGCGUGUCAUCAGCACGCGUUGAUUACGUCCCUGCCCUUUGUACACACCGCCCGUCGCUACUACCGAUUGAAUGGCUGAGUGAGGCCUCCGGACUGGCUCAGGGAGGUGGUUGGCAACGACCCCCCAGAGCCGGGAAGCUGGUCAAACUUGGUCAUUUAGAGGAAGUAAAAGUCGUAACA
rnacentral:rRNA from 1 species